GUUGCGGUCCAAACAAAACGGUGUUCGGAUUUUUCAUGCGGGCUCGGGGUGGAGCGGUGGCGUCCCCAGACCCAGAUGGGAGAAGGUCUCCUCCGGCUUUUCCAAAAUCAGGGGGGCGCCGUGUCUUUUCCAAAAACUAGUGGAGCGCCCGUGGCUCUCAUGACCUGAUUUUGGAUACAAAAUGGCAUGGCGCAAUUAUGUUUGGCCUGUUUUGGGUGUGUGUUUGUUUGCUACUGCUUGUUUGAAUUGUCUUCUAUAAUAUAAAGGCCAGGUGUUGUCAAGUGGCGUACACCGAAUAAAACCAGCCAAAACGGCAGCCUGCACCAUUUGUUCUGGCGUGCAGGCACCAUAUUUUUUUUACCAUGAUAUCCUCUGCAUGAACUAAGCUAGUUUAUAUAUGUAAGUGUGCCUGUGUAUUGUGAACGUUUAUGUUGUAUUGUGUACUAAAAAAAUACUAAAAUGGAUGGGACAGUACUGAAAUACAACAUACUAAAUUUGGUUUUUAUUAUUUAUUUUUAUUUUUAUUUUGGUUUGGAGAUAAAAAGGUAAUUAUAAUAUUUUAUUCAUACACACGCUUACGCAUUUAGUGUUUAUUAGUAUAAUAUAAAAUUCACAGUUCUAGUUUUUGACAGAUGCAAGUGUCUUUGACGGACACAAGUAGGAAUUGACGCGUCGAACGUUUUCAAUCCCUGCCAAAAGCUCCUCGAGUACUCCCUCCGUUCAUUAAAAAUAUUAUUUUUAACUUUUGAAUUUCUUAUUUAGCCAUUUAUCUAUUUCAUUUUUUAUGCUAAUAAUAAAAUAAAUA
rnacentral:lncRNA from 1 species